rnacentral:rRNA from 1 species
AUUGAACGCUGGCGGAAUGCUUUACACAUGCAAGUCGAACGGCAGCACGGGGGCAGCCCUGGUGGCGAGUGGCGAACGGGUGAGUAAUACAUCGGAACGUGCCCGGUCGCGGGGGAUAACGUAGCGAAAGUGACGCUAAUACCGCAUACGAUCUGAGGAUGAAAUCGGGGGACCUUCGGGUCUCGCACCAUCGUAGCGGCCGAUGUCAGAUUAGGUAGUUGGUGGGGUAAAGGCCUACCAAGCCGACGAUCCGUAGCUGGUCUGAGAGGACGACCAGCCACACUGGGACUGAGACACGGCACAGACUCCUACGGGAGGAAGCAGUGGGGAAUUUUGGACGAUGGGCGCAAGCCUGAUACAGCCCUACCGCGUGAAGGAUGAUGGACUUCUGCUUGUAAAGUGCUUUUGUCCGGAACGAUGAGGAUCUGGCUAACACCUGGGGAUAAUGACGGUACCGUAAGAAUAAGCACCGGCUAACUCCGUG